ACUCAUAAAAGUUAAAGAAAUAUAAUGUAUAGAGUAAAAAAAAUGAAGCUACAAUUCGUACUAAUAUUUAUUACCUUUGAAACCUUAUUAUUUAUAAACCAUAAUUUUUAUUGUAUUAUUGAGGGAAUUUUCUAAAUUGUAACCUUGUAACAAAUACAUUCUUAAAAUUUUCUUAGAUUUAGCUCUCUAACAUAACCUCUAACCUCUCAAAAUAAUCUGUAAUUAUAACAUGUCUUUGUUUUUGUGCUUGAAGGAUAAAAUUUAAAUACUAAUCAAUAAACAAUCAUUUUUUGGAUUAUUAUUAUUAUUAU
rnacentral:lncRNA from 1 species